CGAACUUCUUUCCUUCAUUCCGUAAGGCAGCAUUACUGAUGGAGUACUCUCCAAAGCUAGCUGCAGCACUGCUCUUAGCCCUCACGUCCGCCAUGAUCGUCACCGCCCAGAAUGACGAUGCUGACUACAUGGUAAAUGCCCACAAUGAAGUGCGCGCCGCCGUCGGUGUGGGGCCGGUGACGUGGGACCCCGUAGUGGCGGCGUACGCGCAGUCAUUCGCGGAGAAGCGCCGCACCGACUGCCAGCCAAUACUCUCUCCGGAUGGCGGUCCAUACGGAGAGAACAUCUUUCGGGCCCCUGGUACCGAAUGGAAUGCGAUAGACGUAGUGAUUUAUUGGGCGUCCGGAAAGCAGUACUACGACCACGCCACCAACACUUGCUCCGCACCUACGGGUGAGUCGUGCGAUGAAUACAUGAAUUUGGUGUGGAGGGACACGAAGACCAUCGGUUGCGGCGCUGUCGUCUGUGACGGCAAUGCCGGUGUGUUUGUCAUCUGCAGCUACAGCCCGCCGCACAUGGUUGGGCAGAUUCCAUACUAGGCUACGUACCAAGUAUGCAUGCGGCUAUGUAUGCAUGCAUGCACAUAGCACCGUGCUGCAUAAAUAAAUAAUUAAGGGAUACUUCUAGGGCUGGGAACUAAUUAUCGGUCGAUUGAUGUCACCGAUAUGUGUGUGUGUCCAGAAACCCUCCUGCCUUCACUCCUGUAUCGUUCCGGGCUUUGAUUGUUUUGGUAUUUGUCUUGUAACUUGUGAUUCGUCUUUGAUUUGUUGUAUUUGAGCUUCUUAUUCUGGUUGUAUCCGGGCUUUGCUCUGGAUGGGUCUCUAGUAUAGUUGGAACGAGAAAAGAACAAGCACAAUAUCACGUAGACCUUAAGUUCAAGCAACAUGUUUGUGUUCUAGAGAACAAAACUUACAUGUCUCUUAUAUUUUAAAUAAUCUGAUUUCAGCAAUGUGUUUUCAAAAUGAAAUAACAAACUUCAACGAAACUGAGAAAAUAUUUUAGUGGCCUUGUAGUGAUGCUUAUCGAAGGUUGUUUAGCAACGAUGCCCGAAUUUUUUCACAUGAAAUGCGCUGAUUUAUGGGCAAUAAUAUGGAUAACAUAGCAAAUAAUAAUAUACUACUAUAUUAAUAGAGCACAACUCUCAUGAAAAGUUCUACUUAAUCAAGCUGCAAGUUAAAAAUCAAAUGACCCAAAAUAAGACGGUUACACUAUUACAAGUUCUGCUUGGAACAAGAAAAUAAUUUCAACCCUGAAUAGGACAACAACUCAAACACCAGAAUGACCAUGGCCGCACGAGAUGUCCUGGUCCUCCAUGACCCAUAUCACCUUCUCCUUCCUACACAAGAAUAACCGGAACGUUCUUACUGAUUGUCUACAAUUUUUACCUGAAUUAAAUAAGCCCAUAAUCCACAACCUAAAACGUAUAUUACAUGAUCAGGCUUUUUUAUUUUUGAAGUCAAUGAUCUUGGGAAUAGAUUACCGUGCAUUUCUUCUAGCGUAACUCCGUCAUUUCCGCUAAUUGGCGGAACUGGUCAUCUAGUAUCACUAAAGCUACGAGCUAUCGCCCCCUCAUCUUUGGAAACCCCCACUCUAUUUCUCCCUUGUAUCUAACACUUGAGCGAAAUCGUGAGUUAAUUCAGUUCGAUGCAUACGUUAUGGGUAUAUUCGUUUUACUAAGUAUUGUUUUUUCAAACAGAGGACAUGAUAUGUUGCGACACUGGCUGCCUCUUGAGAAGCUAAUCCACAUCUGCUCGGAAUAUCAUUAUGUGACAUACCAUGUGUAAUACGCACUGCUUUGCUUAUUUAUGCUUCCAUGAAUCGAUGCCUUUUCUACAGCAGGGCUUGACGCAGCAUUCAGGGUGACAUAGCAUGUUGGUUACAUUUUAUAAAUUAAUGAGGACUCUACUUAUUUUUUUUAUGACCGGGUGAGGUCUUGGCUUAUUUUUGACGACAUGGUGAAGUCUACGCUUACUGAUUGGCUUUAAGUUUUCAACCGCGCGCCAGAACAAAUCAGCUGCUGAAGUCUCCGUUUAUUUAUUUUUUCGAACAACUGAGGUCUCGGCUUCCUGAGUGGCUUGAAUUUUUCGCACAAGCACAUGUAUUGGAAUUUUCCCCGUACGUACAAGUGGAUGUUCUUGUUUCCCUACUGAAAGGAGAAUAAUAAUGGCUCUAAGAUUAGCUAAAGCAACCCAUCGAGCUAGCUUGUGCACUAGUAUAAAUACACAAUUCACGGUGACAGCAAAUCUCAUCCAUCAUUACACACACGAACUUCUUUCCUUCAUUCCGUAAGGCAGCAUUACUGAUGGAGUACUCUCCAAAGCUAGCUGCAGCACUGCUCUUAGCCCUCACGUCCGCCAUGAUCGUCACCGCCCAGAAUGACGAUGCUGACUACAUGGUAAAUGCCCACAAUGAAGUGCGCGCCGCCGUCGGUGUGGGGCCGGUGACGUGGGACCCCGUAGUGGCGGCGUACGCGCAGUCAUUCGCGGAGAAGCGCCGCACCGACUGCCAGCCAAUACUCUCUCCGGAUGGCGGUCCAUACGGAGAGAACAUCUUUCGGGCCCCUGGUACCGAAUGGAAUGCGAUAGACGUAGUGAUUUAUUGGGCGUCCGGAAAGCAGUACUACGACCACGCCACCAACACUUGCUCCGCACCUACGGGUGAGUCGUGCGAUGAAUACAUGAAUUUGGUGUGGAGGGACACGAAGACCAUCGGUUGCGGCGCUGUCGUCUGUGACGGCAAUGCCGGUGUG
rnacentral:lncRNA from 1 species